CGCUACAAUGGGCUGUGUUGGCCAAUCAGAGCCAUUAUUAGCAGGUGGUCACGUGACAACCCAGAAGUGAACACGGAAGUAGCAGUCCACGACAUUGCUGUUGUUGCUUUUUAAACAUUUACUCGAAAACAAGCUAGAAGGCUGAAUUUAUUUGGAAAAAGGGGACUGGUGGAGUGUCAUUUCAUGCAACGGUGGAUUGUGACACUGGAGCAAACGUGUGAGUGAGCUGUGCGGCGAUAACGACUCCCGAGGGUCCACACCUAAAUGGACUUCCAGACCACACCAGAAGGGACUUGGGAUCAGGAGCAGACCGAGGCGUCAGGGUGGUGUUCCAGGACCGCAGAAUGUGCUUUGGACACCCCUGCCCUAUGGAGACUGGACCUGGUGAGAUAUGCAGGGACUUUAUGAAAAGUGACAAUGUCUUUUAUUUUGAAGUCCCGCUGUCACACAGAGCUCCCUGGUGCAGAUUCCUGCAUGGUGGUGUAAGAAGCGGAAUAAAAACAUCAUCAUAAUGAGGCGCAACGCACAUCCAUCCUCAUGCUCGUUACGACAUCCAGCCGGCCCUUUAUUACUUUGGAUACCA